rnacentral:rRNA from 1 species
AAAGGAAUUGACGGGGCCCGCACAAGCAGCGGAGCGUGUGGUUUAAUUCGAGGCUACACGAAGAACCUUACCUGGGUUUGACAUAGCGGUGGUAGGGAACCGAAAGGGGACCGACCUUCGGGAGCCGUUACAGGUGCUGCAUGGCUGUCGUCAGCUCGUGCCGUGAGGUGUUCGGUUAAGUCCGGUAACGAGCGCAACCCUCGUCGCUAGUUACACGUUGUCUAGCGAGACUGCCCGUGAUAAGCGGGAGGAAGGUGGGGAUGACGUCAAGUCAGCAUGGCCUUGAUGCCCAGGGCUACACACACGCUACAAUGGCCGGUACAAUGGGUCGCCAACCCGCAAGGGGGAGCCAAUCCAGCAAAGCCGGUCUCAGUUCGGAUUGCAGGCUGCAACCCGCCUGCAUGAAGUCGGAGUUGCUAGUAACCGCGCGUCAGCCAUAGUGCGGUGAAUACGUUCCCGGGCCUU